CUCGAUCCCCUCAGGGGCCAUGGCGGCCUCGGGCGGGAGCCAGGAGGGGAAAUCGCUCCUUUUGCAAACUCAUGGGCACCAAUUGGUCCCAGCACCACCACCGGCAGUGGGCAGAAGCUGCAAAAUAAGCAGGUUGGAUCUUACUGCACACGGGCAGCAUAUCAAUGUCCCAGGGCCAGGCACAUGCCCUGCACCACGCCCGUGACCGCUCUCCCUGAUCUCCAAUGGAACCCUGACAUAGCAACUCUGGGAAUACUGAAUUGCCCUGAGAUGUUGAGGAAAGCUGGUGCUCGAUGCUGACUCUGCCAGGGCUCCUCAGGUGGCUUCAGAGCACGUUUGGAGUUCCUGCUCUUCCUGGGUCACUGCUGCUCCCGAUGCAGCAGCCACAGGGAGGGGAGGAGGAGGAGAGCAGAGCCACAGCCCCGAGGGCUCUGCAGCUGCAGCUGGAGCACAGGAACAGCCUGGACACAGAGCAGUGCCUUGGGAGGGCAAAAUGAGCUGAGCCAGAAUCAAAAAAUACUUUCCAGGAUGUUCCAAAGGGCUGCAGAUUUGAGACAGGAAAGAAGAAGAGAAUCCGGGCCAGGUUGGUGAGCAGAUUGUUGUUGUCUUUGCAGGACUUUUGGGUCUCUCUUAGUCACUUGUGUCGAAGGACAAAACAAUCAAUUGCUGCAUAUCCAGACAGGUUCCCUCACAGCUGUCCCUGCAGGGUGUGUUUCCAGCCAGCCCUGCUCUGAAAACCAUCAAGGGCCCUCUGCUUGGGCUCCCUUUGGGUUUUGUGCUUCUUGCAGGGCUGAGCAAACCACAGGCAGGCCUUUUUCCCCCACAAAAUUCUCACCUUUGCAGCAUGUGAAAAACAAGUUCACUCUUCUGUGAAAAUUUUAAAAGUUUAACAAAGGACAAUAGGAGACAAAGGCCAUAGAGCAAAGGUUAUUUUGCCUAGGUUCAUCUCGGCUCUCAGACAAGACCACACUGGUAUCUUCGGGAAUACCCCUUAAAUACCUUUUCCAUUACAUCACCCUGUUGCAUAUUCAUAGACGCUUAUACACAGUAAACUUUUCCCCCAAACUAGUUUACAUAUUCCAAGAACUAUUUAGCGUAUCUCCGCCUUGGAUCCACCUUUUUAGAGCAUGUGUACUCCUGGGUUGUGCUUUUAUUCCUUUUUUAUCAUCAUCUUCAAGUUUGGCCCCAGCCCACACUGUCUUCAGAUGGUGGGUGCUGAUAGAUGGCAUAUCUGUACCAGGUGUCCUCAUCCUGUGUUCAUUGAAUGGUAUCCCAUCCAAGCAGGCAUUUUAACGCAAGCAUAGUUAUAUCAGCUAUUUCACUACUAUGUCUAAGAUUAAUUAACAACAGAAAUAGAAACUAUAUCUUUUGAACAAAAUUAACAUCUGUCUUGGUUUGGAAAGACAAAUGGGUGCCAAGGAAGGCAGGAGCCUCCCCUGAAAUAGAAAAAAUGUAAACCCCCUCCCUCCAAAUUGUUAUAAAUUUGAAAUUAAGGGGCUCUCAAACAAAAAUAUGGGAGCAGGAAUAACAGUUUUUUAUGAGGAAAGAAAAUGAAAAGAUAAAAUAAACAAUGCGGUCGACCAAAACAACACUGACAGAGUCAGAAUACAACCUGAUACUCUGUUGGUCAGGGUGUUGGGAGCAGUCCAAUUGGAAUUGUGGCUGCAGUCCUCCUGGAGGUGUGGUUCUGUUGGAGCAGUGAUCCUGUAGAAGGGUGUAGUCUUCCUCUGAAGAUCCAGUGGAAGAGGCAGCUGUUCCUCUGGGAAACCCACUGGAGAAGCCGUGCUGGUGUUCCAUAAACUCAAUAUUAUAUCUGGGUAGGAAUGCUUGGCUCCUCCCUUUGGGCAAAACAUCUCACAAUGGGAUGCUAUAGUUCUUAUCAGUCAUGCAGUGACAUUCAAUAGCCUGUUAUCAGCAGAUGUCCCCCCGGAGGGAGGAGUGGUUGUGGAAGAGAUAAAGAAAACUGCCCACUUGUGGGUGAUGGGUGUGGGAGAAUUGGCACGAGGAUGCUAUGGGAAAGUCCUGUUGAUUAAGUUAGGGUAAGUUGCUGUAGUAAUUUCCCAUGGUACCUUACCACUGUUAUGCUAAUGUGUAUGAAAAUGACAAAGGUUGUAUACAUCCCCAUCCAGAACAUUCUCUAUACCCCGGUGUCCCACUGGUUGUUCCACUGAAGCCUCUCCGUCCUCAUUCCCCAUUGGACUGCUCUCCAUCACUCCAUGCUUGCCCCUCCACCUGCACCUUUUCUCAUUGGAUCAUUUGUAUUGUGACCCCUCCUACCCCUAUCUGUAUAUAUACCCUGGACCCUCCCUGAACAGUGGGAUUCUCUCCCCAGUGCUCCUUCGAUACACCACUUUUCUCUGAUUUUACCUAUACUUUGGUCCUACAAUAAACUUGCUGGAAUUAUCCAAGAUUAAGUCAUCUCCUUCUACCCUGGUGAGCAGAGACUACACAUCCAGGACUGGGUGGAAGGUGAGCUGAGGGGUAGCACUAUUGGACAAGGGCACACUCUUCAUCCCUCUAGUGUCCCACCAGCACCGGCCAAGGGUUUCCCCCCGCAGACGGAGAGGAAACCAGGUCUCCCAAUGCACCCACUAAACAGAAGACAACUGCCAUACAGAUGGCAAAAGGAAUACAAUUUGCUCGGCAAUCCAGGUCAUGCACUGUUUUAAAUCACCCUUCUAUCUCUCAUGUACUACUAAUUGUACAUAUUAUCUGAUUUAUUUCUGCUUAAUUUCUUGUUUAUCCACAGGUUGUUUUCUUUUUUAUGUUGCCUUCAUGUUCAUGACGAGAGACACACAUGUUGUUAAAAAGCAAAAGAAGGUGGAGUAUGGCUCCUCAAGAAUGUUUACACUGAUAUUUACACAGAAAACAUUAAAAUCAAAUCAAAUCAAAUCAAUUCAAAUAAAAUAAAAUUUGACCCCUAGCAGAGCAAUACUGCUUUGAAGAUUUGCAUGUGCAGAGGCAAUUUCUAAAAGUUUCUAUGUAAGGAUCUUUAAUUGAGUGUAGAGAGGUAAGGCCUAACUCAUUUACUAACCUAGGGGAAGGUAGGCAUUUGUUUUAUCACAACAGGUCUGAAGCACUCUCCUGUUCGUCUGGACAAACGUCAAUCGCCUCCAAGAGAAUGAGGUCCAGAGAAAAGAAAAAUUCCCUAAUUGUCACACAGCCCCCUUCUUGAGAAAGACAAGAACAGAAGUAGGACUGCCAGGAUAUGGCUGUGAGGGCUUUGAAGGCUUAUGCUGCACAAAUCUGUCUGACUAUUCUUAGUCUAUCCACACUAGCAUACAAGCCCUUCAACAGAGUGUAACUAAAUUGCAAAUUAGCAAUGGGCAUUGUCUUGGACAUUACUUGGGGCAUGGGGGCUUACUGGCAGCUCUGGGGCUCAGACACCCCUCAGGGAGCACUGGGUGUGGGGCUUUGGGCACCGGGGGCAGCGUGCAGGGCUGGAU